ACGGGAGGCAGCAGUGGGGAAUAUUGCACAAUGGGCGAAAGCCUGAUGUAGCGACGCCGCGUGAGUGAAGAAGUAUCUCGGUAUGUAAAGCUCUAUCAGCAGGGAAGAAAAUGACGGUACCUGACUAAGAAGCCCCGGCUAACUACGUGCCAGCAGCCGCGGUAAUACGUAGGGGGCAAGCGUUAUCCGGAUUUACUGGGUGUAAAGGGAGCGUAGACGGUUUGGCAAGUCUGAAGUGAAAUGCGGGGGCUCAACUCCUGAACUGCUUUGGAAACUGUCGAACUAGAGUGCAGGAGAGGUAAGUGGAAUUCCUAGUGUAGCGGUGAAAUGCGUAGAUAUUAGGAGGAACACCAGUGGCGAAGGCGGCUUGCUGGACUGUAACUGACGUUGAGGCUCGAAAGCGUGGGGAGCAAACAGGAUUAGAUACCCUGGUA
rnacentral:rRNA from 1 species